rnacentral:rRNA from 1 species
AUGUGCCUCUGGGCACCAAACAAAGAGAUUCAGCGGGCUUUUCUUUGGGCGGGGACAGAUCAGAUCUCGGGUGGCAAAUGCAAAGUUAACUGGGAGGUGGUUUGCCAAUCCACAAACUUGGGUGGCCUGGGUAUCCUCGACCUCGACAAAUUCUCUCAAGCGCUUAGACUGCGUUCGAUAUGGUUUGCUUGGGUGGACCCUCAAAGGGCAUGGGUUGGCCUCGAAACCCCAUGCAACGAUAAGGACAAGGACCUUUUCUAUGCGGCCACCAGAAUCACCGUCAGGGAUGGAAUGAAGGCGAGUUUUUGGCACUCCCCUUGGUUAGAUGGUCACAGGCCUAAAGACAUUACCCCAGGCAUCUUCGCCCUUUCCAAGCGCUCCAACAGUUGUGUCGCUACAGCGAUGGCCAAUAAUGGUUGGGAGAUAAACCUUGUUCCAGGCAUUAGCGAUAGCAUCCACGGGAAGUUCACGGCGGACGGUUUCUACUCCGCGGCCACUACAUACAGGAUGCCGUUCGCCGGUUUGAUCAAGUCUGCAUUGCCACAAAUGGCUUGA